UGAAGGGAACCUUCAACAUCUAUCACACCCCUCCUUUGGCCCUUCUCAGAAGCCAUCUCCUACCUCUGCACCCUCUCUCUCUCUCUCUCUCUCUACUUUCUUGUUCAUGGGUGUUAAGAGUUUGUAAAGAUAUUAUUACAUUCGUUUCUGACGAUGAAGCUUCUACGACUUUCCAUCCUCGACAAAUCUAAAUAAAUAUCAUCAGAAAAUUAUGUGUUUGGGAUUCACGAAUCCUGAUAUAGUUUUUGUUUACGAUCCCAACAGGAAAAGAAAUCCAACACCACUCAUGUCCCCUAAAUUUGGCAUGGAAAAUAAAAUAGGAUCAUGUCAUGAUUACAUAUUAUGAUGGCACGGUGGAGACUGUAGCAGUGCAUAAGUCGCCACAACACCAACCUCAUAUUAAAGGAAAGGAUGUUCUAAGGGCUUCGACUGCAACACAAACUAUAUCAUGAAUUAUUAGUUUAUCUUUGGCAUCAUCUAAUGUUGCUUCCCGUGCAUGGCACACCAUUUUUGUGUCACAGGCUUCCUUCCUUUGGCUGCUACAGAUGGAGAUCCUCACACUCUCGUCGGCUAUGUCGUGACACGAGGAGGGGUGUGGAAUGUUCCACUCCAACUUUCCUGGAUGUUGGAGGUCUGGAGGGAGGGGUCGACCAUAAAAUGGGAUGCAAUGCAUCCACCCACAGAAGCCGACACAGGUUUCUCUCUUUGUAAGCAAAGCACCAUAAGCACAUCUGGUGUUGCCUUUUCCUCUCUCUCUCUCUCUCUCUCUCUCUCUCUCUCCCUCUCUCUCUCUUUCUCAUCCUUCUCCCCUACAUACAUGCAUGUGAGCAGCAAAGCAUGAGGAGCAGGGACAAACACAUGCACUCGAGUUCUUCUUUUGCUCGAGGAGAUCAAACCUUGUUGUCAUGUUGGCUUUGAGGUUCAAGCAUGGUCUCCAUUCAGACUUUCUCCUUCCCGUUUCCUUCUGGAAACGAUUUCUGCAACGGGAGCUCGGACACUAUUGCUUAGAUUGAGCUCAUCUUGGACUCUCGGUUCCUCGUUCAGGAAUUCAGCCACCGAGUUAGCAGUUCGCCCUCUCGGUUUCAUCGCUUCCGAUCCUAAUCUGGAAAGAACUCAUUUGACUUGGUAAGAUUCCAUAUUGAGAAUCGUCGUCAUUGGUGGGAGUUGAAGACGAUGAUUUGUUCUUCCUGAGAGACACUUAACGCCAAAAGUUCAGAUUGGCAGACAGCUUGACCGAGGUGCUUCGAUGGAAGGAAGAACUCGGAAGGAUCAUCUCGCAGCCGAUUCAAGAACCGUCUAUGGAGGAUCCACCACACCACGAGAACAAAGCCAUACAUCUUCCCCCUCUAAAUAUUUUAGUGCAGAAUCAUUGCUGCUACUUCUUUGCCUCACUGCCUCAUUGCUGAUACUUCCGGUGAUACUGCCUCCGCUGCCGCCGCCACCUCUUGCGCUACUCCUACUCCCAAUCGGCAUACUCGUUUUGCUCAUGAUCUUGGCAUUUAUGCCCUCGGAUGUAAGCAAGAUUGCAUGCCCUUGUGAAUGAGUUGUGGAUUGUCAUCUUGUGUUCAUGUCUUGAAUGAGUCUUUUUCCUGUUCAUUCCUGAUGUAAAUGCAUAAAAUGGUUAUGUAAUAUAUUUCUAAUCAUUUUGUA